UCACUUCCUCUCUCACUCUCUUUUUGCAGAGAGGUGGCUCUGGUGGCAGCGUGCUGAGGUCUUGGCAUCUUGAUGUGGAGGCAGCUAUUGUCCAGGUUUGGCGGUGAAUGUCCUUGAUACACUACUGGGAGAAGCUUAGUAGCAUAGUUCAGGAUGAAGAAUUGGAUGUCGAGGGGAUGUCCUUCAAUGGGGGAAUGGCUGAACAAACUGCGGUAUAGGAUGGUCAUGGAAUACUAUUGUUCUAUGAGAAAUAGGAGCAGGAGGAUUUCGGAAAAAGCUGGAAAGAACUGCAUGAACAGAUGCAGAGUGAAAUAAAGCAGAACCAGGAGAACAUUGUGCGCAGUCACAGCUACACUGCGGAACAAUCAACUGUGACAGACUUGGCUACUCUGAGCAACAGAAUGAUGCAGGACAGCUCUGGAGGACGUAGAACUGGCGCAGAAGGAUGCAGAUCCGAGCAGACAAUUUUUCACACUGGCUGAUGUGGGUUUUCAUUUGGGGGCGUGGGCUGUAUGUGAACAUUCCCUUAUCACAGUAACCAAGAGAGUAUGUUUGGCAUGAUACAUGUAUAACCCAGGUCAAAUCGAUUACCAUCUCUGGGAGGGGGAGGGAAGGGAAGGAGGGAGACGAUUUGAAUCAUGAGACAUCAGAAAACAUAGGUGGAAAAUUGUUUCUUACGUGUAAUUUGGAAAAUAAAAUCUUU